rnacentral:rRNA from 1 species
AUGAACGCUGGCGGCGUGCCUAAUACAUGCAAGUCGAGCGAACGGACGAGAAGCUUGCUUCUCUGAUGUUAGCGGCGGACGGGUGAGUAACACGUGGAUAACCUACCUAUAAGACUGGGAUAACUUCGGGAAACCGGAGCUAAUACCGGAUAAUAUUUUGAACCGCAUGGUUCAAAAGUGAAAGACGGUCUUGCUGUCACUUAUAGAUGGAUCCGCGCUGCAUUAGCUAGUUGGUAAGGUAACGGCUUACCAAGGCAACGAUGCAUAGCCGACCUGAGAGGGUGAUCGGCCACACUGGAACUGAGACACGGUCCAGACUCCUACGGGAGGCAGCAGUAGGGAAUCUUCCGCAAUGGGCGAAAGCCUGACGGAGCAACGCCGCGUGAGUGAUGAAGGUCUUCGGAUCGUAAAACUCUGUUAUUAGGGAAGAACAUAUGUGUAAGUAACUGUGCACAUCUUGACGGUACCUAAUCAGAAAGCCACGGCUAACUACGUGCCAGCAGCCGCGGUAAUACGUAGGUGGCAAGCGUUAUCCGGAAUUAUUGGGCGUAAAGCGCGCGUAGGCGGUUUUUUAAGUCUGAUGUGAAAGCCCACGGCUCAACCGUGGAGGGUCAUUGGAAACUGGAAAACUUGAGUGCAGAAGAGGAAAGUGGAAUUCCAUGUGUAGCGGUGAAAUGCGCAGAGAUAUGGAGGAACACCAGUGGCGAAGGCGACUUUCUGGUCUGUAACUGACGCUGAUGUGCGAAAGCGUGGGGAUCAAACAGGAUUAGAUACCCUGGUAGUCCACGCCGUAAACGAUGAGUGCUAAGUGUUAGGGGGUUUCCGCCCCUUAGUGCUGCAGCUAACGCAUUAAGCACUCCGCCUGGGGAGUACGACCGCAAGGUUGAAACUCAAAGGAAUUGACGGGGACCCGCACAAGCGGUGGAGCAUGUGGUUUAAUUCGAAGCAACGCGAAGAACCUUACCAAAUCUUGACAUCCUUUGACAACUCUAGAGAUAGAGCUUUCCCCUUCGGGGGACAAAGUGACAGGUGGUGCAUGGUUGUCGUCAGCUCGUGUCGUGAGAUGUUGGGUUAAGUCCCGCAACGAGCGCAACCCUUAAGCUUAGUUGCCAUCAUUAAGUUGGGCACUCUAAGUUGACUGCCGGUGACAAACCGGAGGAAGGUGGGGAUGACGUCAAAUCAUCAUGCCCCUUAUGAUUUGGGCUACACACGUGCUACAAUGGACAAUACAAAGGGCAGCGAAACCGCGAGGUCAAGCAAAUCCCAUAAAGUUGUUCUCAGUUCGGAUUGUAGUCUGCAACUCGACUACAUGAAGCUGGAAUCGCUAGUAAUCGUAGAUCAGCAUGCUACGGUGAAUACGUUCCCGGGUCU